CUUUUCAGCGGUGCCGGUAAUCCUGAUUUGAGCCGAUUCUGUGUCGUCCAAACGAACAACAGGAAAAUCUAGUGAGCCGUUUCGAUCUGCCCCUCAAAUUUCCCGUCUUUGUUGCGCGGUUCUAGGGGUCUGUUGUGCAAGUUCAAAUGUAGUAGCGGCUGUUGCUUGCACGUUGCAAAGCCCGUGGCCGCUGCAGUCAGUGGGAUGAUCACAAAAUCCACUUUGCCCCCGGUUGCCGGGGGCAUGUCGGGUCGCCGCUUCUCCGCCCAAGUGCCAAUGCAGAGUGCAGGAGGCGCGCUGGCUGCAUGGUCCGGACGCACACCCACACCCCGCACCCCGCACGCGGCACCCUCCUUCGCUCCCUCCCCACGCUUCCUACCCUACUUUCAGGUUCCGAGCAGGUGCAUGCCCCCCGCCAGGUUCGUGCGCAGCUGCAGUACCAAGCCACAAAGCGUCCAUGUGUGGCGCGUGUCAACGCCUCUUGCUCCUGCUGCUGCAAUGCGCCGGCGCCUCUCACUGCUGCUAUGGC
rnacentral:lncRNA from 1 species